GGCACUCUCCCCCUCCAGGACCUAGAAACUAAUAACUCCUUUUAUCCUUUUAGGCCUAAUACAGUUAUUAGCCUCCAGUUACUGACCUAUCCUUUGCCCAUACCUUUCAAAAUAGCCCUUCAUUAUUUUGAGAAUGUUAUUUCCUGUUGGGACCCUGUCUGAUACACCUGGUAAAGGUAGGUGAUCUUUUCGAUUUACAGGCUUCAUAUUUUAUCCAUGUACUUGAACCUUACUCUCAUACAUAUAACCUUAUAUUCUUAUGAGCCAACAGUUCUGAAGGGUCAACUGCUGGAUUAAGUAGCAGAGAGUGACGCAUACCUGUGUGGUUCUCAUGGAUGGGACAGUGACAUCAAGGAGUUAAAAACCUGAGAGACAAUAAUAUCUCAGGCCCCUGUGACUUAGCCCCCAAAGAACCCAAGAUGCUGAACAGCUUUUCAAGCUCUGUGACUGUGGAACCUUCUGUGAUUCAAGUCCCCAAAGCCUUACACAAACUGAUGGAAUCUGUCUGCUGGGGCCCUGGUUUCUCCAUAACCUCCCAGGAUGCCUCUGAGAAAUCAGCUUAGAAAUCCCUGAGGAUGAUGAUGCUAUCCUCCCGUUGGCACAUUCUGGUUUUCCUAAAGACAAAAACUGAGCUAAUGGUCUAUAUUUAAACCUUAGGAUCAUUUACCCUUUUUGUUUGUGACCA
rnacentral:lncRNA from 1 species